rnacentral:rRNA from 1 species
GACGAACGCUGGCGGCGUGCUUAACACAUGCAAGUCGAACGAUGAAGCCGGAGCUUGCUCUGGUGAAUUAGUGGCGAACGGGUGAGUAACACGUGAGUAACCUGCCCUUGACUCUGGGAUAACUGCGGGAAACUGUAGCUAAUACCGGAUACGACCCUCGGAGGCAUCUCCUGGGGGUGGAAAGAAUUUCGGUCAAGGAUGGACUCGCGGCCUAUCAGCUAGUUGGUGAGGUAAAGGCUGACCAAGGCGACGACGGGUAGCCGGCCUGAGAGGGUGGCCGGCCACACUGGGACUGAGACACGGCCCAGACUCCUACGGGGGGCAGCAGUGGGGAAUAUUGCACAAUGGGCGCAAGCCUGAUGCAGCAACGCCGCGUGAGGGAUGACGGCCUUCGGGUUGUAAACCUCUUUUAGCAGGGAAGAAGCGAAGGUGACGGUACCUGCAGAAAAAGCACCGGCUAACUACGUGCCAGCCGCCGCCGUAA